rnacentral:rRNA from 1 species
CAUGCAAGUCGAGCGAGCGGAGCCAACAGAUUUACUUCGGUAAUGACGUUGGGAAAGCGAGCGGCGGAUGGGUGAGUAACACGUGGGGAACCUGCCCCUAAGUCUGGGAUACCAUUUGGAAACAGGUGCUAAUACCGGAUAAUAAAGCAGAUCGCAUGAUCAGCUUUUGAAAGGCGGCGUAAGCUGUCGCUAAGGGAUGGCCCCGCGGUGCAUUAGCUAGUUGGUAGGGUAACGGCCUACCAAGGCAAUGAUGCAUAGCCGAGUUGAGAGACUGAUCGGCCACAAUGGAACUGAGACACGGUCCAUACUCCUACGGGAGGCAGCAGUAGGGAAUCUUCCACAAUGGACGCAAGUCUGAUGGAGCAACGCCGCGUGAGUGAAGAAGGUUUUCGGAUCGUAAAGCUCUGUUGUUGGUGAAGAAGGAUAGAGGUAGUAACUGGCCUUUAUUUGACGGUAAUCAACCAGAAAGUCACGGCUAACUAC